UUGCCUACGGGACGCAGCAGUCGGGAAUAUUGCGCAAUGGAGGAAACUCUGACGCAGUGACGCCGCGUAUAGGACGAAGGUCUUCGGAUUGUAAACUAUUGUCGUUAGGGAAGAGAAAGGACAGUACCUAAGGAGGAAGCUCCGGCUAACUACGUGCCAGCAGCCGCGGUAAUACGUAGGGGGCAAGCGUUAUCCGGAUUUACUGGGUGUAAAGGGAGCGUAGACGGCAUAGCAAGUCUGAAGUGAAAGCCCGUGGCUCAACCGCGGAACUGCUUUGGAAA
rnacentral:rRNA from 1 species